GGGCGCCCGGCGGGUCCCUCCCGGCGCUGCGCGGGGCUCGCCGCGGCUCCUCUCCCCGGCUCGCUCGCUCUUUGAGGAAAGUCGCUUGGAUGUGCAUCACUUCAGGCUUUGAAGCAACACCGAAAAGAUCUUCAGAUACUAGUUCGGAGGAGCACCCCAGCCCCUUGCUUUGCACCCUCAUUUAGGGUAAAUACCAUGAAUACGGUAUAUAAUUUAUAAGCAUAUCUUUUAAUAGUGCCCCAAUCACCGCAGAUUGUAUGCAACACAUAUGCUGCAACUCUGUAAUGUGAGAUCUGCUGGUGGUAUAUGAUACUUGCUUAUAAAAAUUGUCACAGCAAGGUUUCCUGAAGCUAACAUAGCUUCCCAGCCUUAAGGCAUCCAAAUACAGAGUUUUGUCAUUUAA